rnacentral:rRNA from 1 species
AACUCCAAGAGUGUAUCUUAAUGUUGCUGCAGUUAAAAAGCUCGUAGUUGAAUUUCUGAAGAUGGGAGAAGCUCACGCGGAUCCCGUCUUCAUCCGCUCGGAGAGGCUAGGGAACUUUAAUCGGGACUCUAGAUGACCCAGCAUUUUACUUUGAAGAAAUUAGAGUGUUCAUAGCAGGCCUUGCUUGCAUAAAUUAGCAUGGAAUAAUGGAAUAAGACUAGUCUGUUUUAUUGGUUGACAGAAUAGUAAUGAUUAACAGGGACAGUCGGGGGCAUUCGUACUCAGUGGCCAGAGGUGAAAUUCUUAGACUCGCUGAAGACGCACUAAUGCGAAAGCAUUUGCCAAGGAUGUUUUCA